rnacentral:lncRNA from 1 species
UUUUCCUUAACAUCCUAAAAUAAAUAAAAAUAUUACUCGAAUAUAACUUUAUAAUGUCAACAAUGCUCUAAACUCAACUCAAGUGUAUCCUAUAUUCUGAUCUCCAACUCUAAACAACUCAAAAGAAACUCUGACAACUCUAUAACAACUCUAAUCAAAUAAAAUAUAAUAAAAUUAUGAAACUUUCCUGUCUAAAAUAUAUUUAAAACCUAUUUCG